GAUGAACGCUAGCGGCAGGCCUAAUACAUGCCAGUCGGACGGGAUUCAGGAGCUUGCUUCUGAUGAGAGUGGCGCACGGGUGCGUAACACGUAUGUAACCUACCUUUAUCAGGGGGAUAGCCUCUCGAAAGAGAGAUUAAGCCCGCAUAAAAUCACAGCACAGCAUUGUGUAAUGAUCAAAUAUUUAUAGGAUAAAGAUGGGCAUGCGGAACAUUAGCUAGAUGGCGGGGUAACGGCCCACCAUGGCGACGAUGUUUAGGGGAUCUGAGAGGAUGGCCCCCCGAACUGGUACUGAGACACGGACCAGACUCCUACGGGAGGCAGCAGUAAGGAAUAUUGGUCAAUGGGCGGAAGCCUGAACCAGCCAUGCCGCGUGCAGGAAGACGGCCCUACGGGUUGUAAACUGCUUUUAUACGGGAAUAAACCCAGAUACGUGUAUCUGGCUGAAUGUACUGUAAGAAUAAGGAUCGGCUAACUCCGUG
rnacentral:rRNA from 1 species